GAUGAAGAACGCAGCGAAAUGCGAUAAGUAAUGUGAAUUGCAGAAUUCAGUGAAUCAUCGAAUCUUUGAACGCACAUUGCGCCCGUCAGUAUUCUGGCGGGCAUGCCUGUUCGAGCGUCAUUACGCCCCUCAAGUCCCCUGUGGACUUGGUGUUGGGGAUCGGCGAGGCUGGUUUUCCAGCACAGCCGUCCCUUAAAUUAAUUGGCGGUCUCGCCGUGGCCCUCCUCUGCGCAGUAGUAAAACACUCGCAACAGGAGCCCGGCGCGGUCCACUGCCGUAAAACCCCCCAACUUUUUAUAGUUGACCUCGAAUCAGGUAGGACUACCCGCUGAACUUAAGCAUAUCAAUAAGCGGAAGGA
rnacentral:misc_RNA from 1 species